rnacentral:rRNA from 1 species
UACGGGGGGGGCAAGCGUUGUUCGGAAUUACUGGGCGUAAAGGGCGCGUAGGCGGCCCGCUAAGUCGAACGUGAAAUCCCCAGGCUCAACCUGGGAACUGCGUCCGAUACUGGCAGGCUUGAAUCCGGGAGAGGGAUGUGGAAUUCCAGGUGUAGCGGUGAAAUGCGUAGAUAUCUGGAAGAACACCCGUGGCGAAGGCGGCUCUCUGGGACGGUACUGACGCUGAGACGCGAAAGCGUGGGGAGCGAACAGG